ensembl:snoRNA small nucleolar RNA, C/D box 19C
GAGAAAUGAGGAUACAUAUUGUUUGUCUUACUGUUAUUGUGAAGACUUCAGAUCCAACUCUGAUCUCACUUUCUGG